rnacentral:tRNA from 1 species
ACAUUGGUGGCUCAGUGGUAGAAUUCUCGCCGCCCAUGUGGGAGACCCAGGUUCGAUUCCUGGCCAAUGCA